rnacentral:rRNA from 1 species
AAACCGGUUGAUCCUGCCGGACCUGACCGCUAUCGGGGUGGGGCUAAGCCAUGCGAGUCGCGCGCCCGGGGCGCCGGGCGCGGCGCACGGCUCAGUAACACGUGCCCAACCUGACCUCGGGAGGGGGACAACCCCGGGAAACUGGGGCUGAUCCCCCAUAGGGGAGGGGCGCUGGAAGGCCCCCUCCCCCAAAGGGAUCUCGGGCGAUCUCUCGGGAUCCGCCCGAGGGUGGGGGCACGGCCCAUCAGGUUGUUGGCGGGGUAACGGCCCGCCAAGCCGAAGACGGGUAGGGGCGGUGAGAGCCGUGAGCCCCGAGAUGGGCACUGAGACAAGGGCCCAGGCCCUACGGGGUGCAGCAGGCGCGAAUACUCCGCAAUGCGGGAAACCGCGACGGGGCCACCCCGAGUGCCGGGCGAAGAGCCCGGCUUUUGCCCGGUGUAAGGAGCCGGGCGAAUAAGCGGGGGGUAAGUCUGGUGUCAGCCGCCGCGGUAAUACCAGCCCCGCGAGUGGUCAGGGUGAUUACUGGGCUUAAAGCGCCCGUAGCCGGCCCGGCAAGUCGCUCCUGAAAUCCUCGGGCUCAACCCGGGGGCAGGGGGCGAUACUGCCGGGCUAGGGGGCGGGAGAGGCCGCCGGUACUCCGGGGGUAGGGGCGAAAUCCUAUAAUCCCCGGAGGACCACCAGUGGCGAAAGCGGGCGGCCAGAACGCGCCCGACGGUGAGGGGCGAAAGCCGGGGGAGCAAACCGGGCCCAGGUCGGCGUUGCGUAAGAUUUAAUAUACUGAAGCGCAGCAAAACGCCAUGGAGUGCGACAGACGCUCGGCCAUAGAGUUGCUACCGUUUAUUCUCUCCGAUGGCGGCAUAUACCGCGGAAAAGAACUCUACUUCACCACAACAGAUACAGCCCUAAUAGAACGCUUCAGACAAGCCGCCGCAAAGGCGUUUAACUACAAGGGCUAUGUCGUGAAGAGAAGUAAUCACUCCUACGUAGUGAAAAUAAAAGGAGAAGGGUACGUGAGGUGUAUAGCAGAAGUUGCACCAGGAAUUUUAUGCAAGCCCAGAUGUGGAGUUACCUUGCCAAGCGACUUAUAUGAAGAUUUAGACCUCGCCAGGUGGUUUAUAAAGGUUCUGGCAUCGUGUGACGGUGGCGUCUCGGUGUCGCUUGGCAGAAAGGGUAAGUACAAGUUCUUGGUAAGAAAGGUAUUCAUCACAGCCAAGAGUGUAGACAUAAGAACACAAGUUAUUAACAUUCUGAGGGAGCUUAAGUUUAAUCCUCACGAUGACAAGGAAAAACAUGUCUACCUCAGCGCAAAGAACGACAUCAUACGCUACGCCAAGGAGAUUAGGUUUCUUGACGGAGUAAAAAUAACCCGCAACUCCAAAAGAUUCCAUGGACUUGAGAAAAACCAUCUCCUAGAUCUGAUCGUCCAGUCCUACGACGACCCACGCGUAUUAACCCUCCUUUUUCAAUCCCCCUCAUCUUUACCUCACCAAGCCGACCUGGCCCGGGCUCAAAGGGGAUUAGAUACCCCUGUAGUCCCAGCUGUAAACGAUGCGGGCUAGCUGUCGGGCGGGCUUAGGGCCCGCCCAGUGGCGUAGGGAAGCCGUUAAGCCCGCCGCCUGGGGAGUACGGCCGCAAGGCUGAAACUUAAAGGAAUUGGCGGGGGGGCACCACAAGGGGUGAAGCUUGCGGCUUAAUUGGAGUCAACGCCGGAAACCUUACCCGGGGCGACAGCAGGAUGAAGGCCAGGCUAACGACCUUGCCGGACGAGCUGAGAGGAGGUGCAUGGCCGUCGUCAGCUCGUGCCGUGAGGUGUCCGGUUAACCCGUGGAUGGGGGUGACCUUUAAACCGGUAGGCGGGUCUAUCUUUAUGGAGAUCGUCGAGUAUUUUAUCGGGUUUCUCCUGGGGGAUGGCUACCUCUACCACUACAAAAAGGAGGGGAAGUACCUCGUCAGGGUUGCUGACAGUAGCAAGGAGUUCUUAGAGAUGCUUAGAACCGAAAUGUUGUCUGCUGGCUAUAAAGGCCAUAUAUACAAGAUAAAAGGCAGAAACGCGUAUGUCCUGGAAUUUUCAAACAAGAAGCUGUAUUACUUAUGUCUUGAACUUGCCACAAAUUUGCUGAAAAAUCCUACAGCUCCCUUUGUGGCUGGGCUGAUAGAUGCAGAGGGCUCGCUACAAAAACCGCGGAGAGGGUCGUUGAGGCUAGUCGUUACCAAUACAAACCUCACGUUGUUACAUGCGGUGUCUAAUCAUCUGCGCCAGAUAGGCAUCGAGGCGACGCCGAAGCCGUAUGGAAAGACCCGGAGAGGGGAAAGGCAAAGAUACCGCAUAAUAGUCUACGGGAAGGAAAAAAUUACAAGGAUUAUUUCGGCCAUCCCCCUGAGACAUCCAAAAUUUUAUCCCCCACCACGGGGCCGAAAGUCCGGCAACGAGCGAGACCCCCACCCCUAGUUGCUUUCCCGCUCUUCGGGGCGGGAGGCACACUAGGGGGACUGCCGGCGUAAGCCGGAGGAAGGAGGGGGCCACGGCAGGUCAGUAUGCCCCGAAACCCCGGGGCUGCACGCGAGCUGCAAUGGCGGGGACAGCGGGAUCCGACCCCGAAAGGGGGAGGCAAUCCCGUAAACCCCGCCCCAGUAGGGAUCGAGGGCUGCAACUCGCCCUCGUGAACGUGGAAUCCCUAGUAACCGCGUGUCACCAACGCGCGGUGAAUACGUCCCUGCCCCUUAGGCGGGUUGCUGCGGCCUUCCUCAU